rnacentral:lncRNA from 1 species
GUCGCAAUGAGAAAGAUCAGGGUGUUAUAGGGUGGAGAGGGGAAGGAGAAAGCUGGAUAUGGAAGCAGAGGAAGGAAAUAUGGAUCAACAAAAUUUAGAUUUCCUACUACAGUGGAUAGAUGCCUGGCCAGAAAAGCCAAAAGCCCGUGAAUGCGGUGCAUAAGCGACCCACAAGCUCUCGUGCGUCUGUCGGUGAGAGUGCACCGCCGACUGCGUCCUGCUGACAGUGUGACCCCAGAGCGCCAAGGCCGGCCGGCCACAUGCAGCCUACUGGCGGCGCAUCAGAUCAGCAGUAACGACGUCCACCUGAAGGUGGUUGGGGGAAGAGGGGAGCGCUAAGGGAUCCUGCCCUGCCUGGCCGCCCAGGUUCCUGGGCUCCC